rnacentral:tRNA from 2 species
CCCUCUAUCCCCAAUAA